rnacentral:rRNA from 1 species
GCAAGUCGAGCGGAUGAAGGGAGCUGGCUCCUGGAUUCUUCGGCGGACGGGUGAGUAAUGCCUAGGAAUCUGCCUGGUAGUGGGGGAUAACGUCCGGAAACGGGCGCUAAUACCGCAUACGUCCUGAGGGAGAAAGUGGGGGAUCUUCGGACCUCACGCUAUCAGAUGAGCCUAGGUCGGAUUAGCUAGUUGGUGGGGUAAAGGCCUACCAAGGCGACGAUCCGUAACUGGUCUGAGAGGAUGAUCAGUCACACUGGAACUGAGACACGGUCCAGACUCCUACGGGAGGCAGCAGUGGGGAAUAUUGGACAAUGGGCGAAAGCCUGAUCCAGCCAUGCCGCGUGUGUGAAGAAGGUCUUCGGAUUGUAAAGCACUUUAAGUUGGGAGGAAGGGCAGUAAGUUAAUACCUUGCUGUUUUGACGUUACCAACAGAAUAAGCACCGGCUAACUUCGUGCCAGCAGCCGCGGUAAUACGAAGGGUGCAAGCGUUAAUCGGAAUUACUGGGCGUAAAGCGCGCGUAGGUGGUUCAGCAAGUUGGAUGUGAAAUCCCCGGGCUCAACCUGGGAACUGCAUCCAAAACUACUGAGCUAGAGUACGGUAGAGGGUGGUGGAAUUUCCUGUGUAGCGGUGAAAUGCGUAGAUAUAGGAAGGAACACCAGUGGCGAAGGCGACCACCUGGACUGAUACUGACACUGAGGUGCGAAAGCGUGGGGAGCAAACAGGAUUAGAUACCCUGGUAGUCCACGCCGUAACCGAUGUCGACUAGCCGUUGGGAUCCUGGAGAUCUUAGUGGCGCCGCUAACGCGAUAA